UGUGGCUAGGCGCUGACCUAACAUAAUCGCAUGGUGUGCUUUCAACGUAAAGCCUUUUUGAAAUCGGACACAGCGGCUGGAUUAACAAGAAGUUUAUCUUUAAUCCUCCUCAUGGCUAACAACAACAACAUGCCGCUGGGUUGGUUUCAGCUGAAUGCUUCCACCAGUACGAUAAGGACCUGAGCCCUAGGACCAUGCCUCAGGACUACCUGGUAUGAUGACUCCUUGCUGUCCCCAGUCCACCUGGCCGUGCUGCUGCUCCAGUUUCAACUGUUCUGCCUGCGGCUAUGGAACCCUGACCUGUUCACCGGACGUGCUUGUUGCACCCUCGACAACUACUAUGAUUAUUAUUAUUUGACCAUGCUGGUCAUUUAUGAACAUUUUAACAUUUUAACAUUUUGACCAUGUUCUGUUAUAAUAUCCACCCUGCACAGCCAGAAGAGGACUGGCCACCCCUCAUAGCCUGGUUCCUCUCUAGGUUUCUUCCUAGGUUUUUGGCCUUUCUAGGGAGUUUUUCCUAGGGAGUUUUUCCUAGCCACCGUGCUUCUUUCACAUGCUUUGCUUGCUGUUUGGGGUUUUAGGCUGGGUUUCUGUACAGCACUUUGAGAAUAUCAGCUGAUGUAC
rnacentral:lncRNA from 1 species